UUUUACGGAGAGUUUGAUCCUGGCUCAGGACGAACGCUGGCGGCGUGCUUAACACAUGCAAGUCGAACGGAGAAGGGGAGCUUGCUCCCUGGAUCAGUGGCGAACGGGUGAGUAACACGUGGGUAACCUGCCCCAGACUCUGGGAUAACACUUCGAAAGAGGUGCUAAUACCGGAUAUUUAGAUUGGAAGACAUC
rnacentral:rRNA from 1 species